AAAAAAUACAUUUCCUGAAAAAAAUGAGAGGCGUUUUAAUGGAUAUACAAGAGACAAAUUAACAACGAGAUUCGUGCACUUUGAUGAUUCCGGAAAAAAUGGAAUAUGGUAGAGAGAGAGAGAGAGAGAGAAUUAAUUGCAAGCCUCCAUGGCUGGAAGUUCUUAUUAUUCAAUUUCACUUAGAAUUUUGAAUUCUUACAGCUGCAUCAUCGAAAGUCCACCCAUGCAAAAACAGAAACAAAAAUGGAAAACAGAACACACAAGAUUUGAAUAGAGAGGCCAUGGUUAAAGUCACAAGGAUGAAGCUUUCUCAUCAAGAGAUUCUCUAACUGCCUUCAAAAGCAUAGGCAUCAGCUUUGGAUUGGUAACAAUUAUGCCCGUGUCCAGAUCAAGAUACCUCCCCUUGGAGAAAUCCAAAGGAUUUCCUCCAGCAUCAGUGACAACACCCCCAGCUUCUGCAAAAUUCAAAGAGAGUCAGAGAGAGAGAGAGA